rnacentral:tRNA from 1 species
GCGAAAGUGGCGGAAUUGGUAGACGCCCUGGAUUUAGGUUCCAGUGCCGNNUGGGGGUUCGAGUCCCCCCUUUCGCACCA